CCGGGCUGGGCUUUAAACAACAUCUCCAAAUACCCUGAAAUAAUCAGCUUUUUCUGUUCCUGAGUGGUUGCAUAAUAGAGACGAUCAGACGAUACGCAUACACUUCAGGGAUAUGACGAUCAUCAACGAUGUCACAAGUUCACUAAAUGCAAUGCAUUUGUCCAACACAAAUGAAUGGACAGCAAAAGAUAUAGAGAUGGACUAUCCAGCAGCCUCGAUAAGUGCGGUUGAUUAUGAAAUGGGUGUAAAUAUUUCCGAGGGAAAAAGAGAAAUGUAUGAAAUAUAUGUGGACUGCUGUUCAAAUGACGCUGAUAAGGCAAUGGAAGUCUACUUGAGCAUUAUGAGUGAUGUUGUUGGCAGUCAUGAGAAUGCAAUUGCAGUACUAGGAAGUAACAUGUAUGAUUACAACUGUUUCUUUGUUAGCCUUACGAGAGCGGAGUUGGAGAAACUUGUCGAAAUAGACAAUCAACGUAUUAGGGGAAUUUAUCCUCCUUACAAUCCCAUUUGAUUGUAUAUCAGUAGUACUGUAGUAGAGAGUUGUUUUACGGAAAUGGAGAAAUCGUGCACUUGUAUCAUCGUCUGCCUUUGGGUACCCACAUAUUUCAAAAUGGUCCAGAUCAAGCCUUCUUUACCUUAUUCUCUAUGUAUGGCAUGCCCAUACAAAGCGGUUGCAGUACUAAGUGGCAUAAGUCAUCAUUAAUAUAGAUUAAGAUUGCAUGUCACAGGUUCGAGACUUGCCAAAGGCAGGUGGAGAAAUUAUAUCUUGGGAUCCAUGUGUGAAGAUGACCAAUACCUGAAGUGGAGGAACUUGCUGUGAUUCGGCAUGCCUUGGAAUGGAGGAGGUUGUUGCAUAUUGAUUGUACGAGUGGUGUCGGUUUAAUGUGGAGUUAAAACACUUAUAGCAAGUUAUUUUGGUUGAGAUUAAAGUUUGUGGCUUUAUUGCCCCUCAAGCUCACCACUAGCUUCCGAUAUUUCUCCUAGAUUGAAAUUCUGCAAUUUGAAAUAUCCUUACUUUUUAUUUUUAUUUUCUAUAAAGUUUAUCUUUUAUUAAUAUAAAAGCCGAAA